AGUUAUAAGAUUAGUUCAAGUUUGGUUUACAAAACCAAUAUUUUUUGUUUUAAAUUAUUAUAAC
rnacentral:tRNA from 1 species